GGGUUAAGAGAUAACUGCCUUGGUUGCGAUAUCUGUCACCCCACUGACCACCAGGAUUGAUUUAGCUGAUCUGACUGGCUAGGUGGGUGACCCCUUCCUCCCUCACUGCUACAUGUGGGCCCCUCCCAAAGCUGAGCGCUAAGUCGGUCACAGGACAACCACCCAACAGAGGACUGUUUCCUCCAUCAAGGGUUUACGAGUUGCUGUGCUCUCCUGCUAGAACCUCCAAACAAGCUCUCAAUAGAGAACUAUCUUUAAAUUUCCUUAAUAUUGUAAAGAUACUUCAACUAGAGAUAAUUUUAAAAAUAAAUUUUAUUUUAU
rfam:Fukomys damarensis contig142064, whole genome shotgun sequence.